ensembl:miRNA Mir5625 microRNA 5625
CCCGGAAGUUCUUGAGUAGGAGACUCCACAUCCCGGGUGACCCGGGUUGGAGCUGCUGGUUCAAGUGGUCUCUCGUGUCC